CUACGUAGGUGGCAAGCGUUGUCCGGAAUUAUUGGGCGUAAAGCGCAUGUAGGCGGUUUGGUAAGUCGGUCGUGAAAAUGCGGUGCUUAACGCCGUAUGGCGAUUGAAACUGCUGAACUUGAGUGCAGGAGAGGAAAGGGGAACUCCCAGUGUAGCGGUGAAAUGCGUAGAUAUUGGGAAGAACACCGGUGGCGAAGGCGCCUUUCUGGACUGUGUCUGACGCUCAGAUGCGAAAGCCAGGGUAGCGAACGGGAUUAGAUACCCCGGUAGUCCUGGCCGUAAACGAUGGGUACUAGGUGUGGGAGGUAUCGACUCCUUCCGUGCCGGAGUUAACGCAAUAAGUACCCCGCCUGGGGAGUACGGCCGCAAGGCUUAAACUCAAAGGAAUUGACGGGG
rnacentral:rRNA from 1 species